GAGGAUAGAGGAGGGAAGGUAGAGGAUAGAGGAGGAGGAGGGAAGGUAGAGGAUAGAGGAGGAGGAGGGAAGAUAGAGGAUAGAGGAGGGCAGGUAGAGGAUAGAGUAGGAGGAGGGAAGGUAGAGGAUAGAGGAGGAGGAGGGAAGGUAGAGAAUAGAGGAGGAGCAGGGCAGGUAGAGGAUAGAGGAGGAGCAGGGCAGGUAGAGGAUAGAGGAGGAGGAGGGAAGGUAGAGGAUAGAGGAGGGAAGGUAGAGGAUAGAGUAGGGAAGGUAGAGGAUAGAGGAGGGAAAGUAGAGGAUAGAGGGAAAGUAAAGGACAGAGGGGGGAAGGUAGAGGACAGAGGAGGGAAGGUAGAGGACAGAGGAGGGAAGGUAGAGGAUAGAGGAGGGCAGGUAGAGGAUAGAGGAGGAGGAGGGAAGGUAGAGGAUAGAGUAGGGAAGGUAGAGGAUAGAGGAGGGAAGGCAGAGGAUAGAGGAGGAGGAGAGAAGGUAGAGGAUAGAGGAUGAGGAGGGAAGGUAGAGGAUAGAGGAGGGAAGGUAGAGGAUAGAGGAGGGAAGGUAGAGGAUAGAGGAGGGAAGGUAGAGGAUAGAGGAGGGAAGGUAGAGGAUAGAGGAGGGCAGGUAGAGGAUAGAGGAGGGCAGGUAGAGGAGGAGGAGGGAAGGUAGAUGAUAGAGAAAGAGGAGUGAAGGCAAAGUAUAGAGUAUUAUGAGGGAAGUUAGAGGAUAGAGGAGGGAAGGUAGAGGAUAGAGUAGGAGGAGGGAAGGUAGAGGAUGGAGUAGGAGGAGGGAAGGUAGAUGAUAGAGUAGGAGGAGGGAAGGUAGAGGAUAGAGUAGG